GCUCGGGAGAACCUGGACGUCGCAAGGUUGGACCAGGCUCGCCAGUACAACCGUGGACGUCGGAACCUCACCUACAGCGUCGGUGACCUCGUCCUUCGACGGACUCACCCGCUAAGUGAUGCGUCACGAGGCUUUGCAGCUUCACUCGCAGAUAGGCUUCGUCGCUGCGACACCGGCGAAGAGACUGGGCCGGUUCACAUCUCGGACUUGAAGUCUUACCAUCUCCGAGACCCGGACGGAGAGGAGCCAGAUUCGCAACCUGCCUCCCUCCAAGACCUGGACCCGGAUCCCGUUCCCGGACCUGCGUCCAGUCGCUACGACUUGCGUCCCCGCAGGCGGCGCACGUAGUCGCCACUAUCUCCAUCGCUAAGCAUAGUGCUUGUGAUUUAGUGCUUUAGUAGUGUGAUUUCUGUUGCACAGUUUUCCGCUGUUUUUCCUAGGGAGUGCCCUUCGGGCGCUUACGGCUUAGGGAUACCCCCUUUACCGUGUUCCCGUCUCUCUCGCAGUUUCAAUGCCACGUUCCGCUCUACCUCCACACCGCCCGGUUUCCCGGUCCCGUUCACGCGGAGACCCAGCACGGAAUUCUGGACCCCCGGACCGCACAGCCCGCUCCUCACCUCCACACCGCUCCGUGGCCACCUGGACGGUCGUGGCCAAUGGCCUGCCUGUGGCAUGGACGUCACGGUCCCGCUGGAGCAGCCAGCCCCGGCCGCUGCGGGGAGAAGACCCGUCACGGACUCCUGCCCCGUUCAGGGGUCACACACUAACAGACAGGCACCCCUCGGACCCCCUCCAACCUCUGACCGCCGAGGAGAGGCGGAUUCUCUGUCCGCAAUGUCAAGUACCCGAGGUGCACAGGGGGACCCACCGCAGAGGCGCCCUGCACCAAGCCCGCCUCGAAGCAACCCGAACAAUGUCCGACGUUGCCACCGCCAUCACUACAUUACGUCGCCUUCGUCCCGAACUGCUGGUGGAGUCCGCACCUGCCAGGCAGCCCACAACACAACCGGUUCCUCCGGUACCCGACGACGCCAUUCUCGACAUCACCGACGAUCUGAUGGCCCUUUAAGGGGGGAGGAGUGUGGUCGAGCACCACGAAGCUUUCUACACAAGCCCCUGGAUGGCGCUUCAGCAAGUGUCUCAACCUUGGCCUCCGAUAAGAGGGGCGUUGCUUCAAAGAUAAAAGGCAGGGUGCGACAGGGGAAGGGAUCUUUUUCCGGGAGAUGCUUGCCCUGGCGCGGUACACGUUGUGGCAGAGAAGGUGAAUAAACGAUGUUGUUGCAUUAAA